GGAUUGUGACUCAGCGGUAGAGUGCUCUCCUUGCACGUCUGAGGCCCUGGGUUCGAUCCUCAGCAUCA
rnacentral:tRNA from 1 species